UCCCGGUUUAAGCGUGUAGGCUGGUUUUCCAGGCAAAUCCGGAAAAUCAAGGCUGAGGCGUGAUGACGAGGCACUACGGUGCUGAAGCAACAAAUGCCCUGCUUCCAGGAAAAGCCUCUAAGCAUCAGGUAACAUCAAAUCGUACCCCAAACCGACACAGGUGGUCAGGUAGAGAAUACCAAGGCGCUUGAGAGAACUCGGGUGAAGGAACUAGGCAAAAUGGUGCCGUAACUUCGGGAGAAGGCACGCUGAUAUGUAGGUGAAGUCCCUCGCGGAUGGAGCUGAAAUCAGUCGAAGAUACCAGCUGGCUGCAACUGUUUAUUAAAAACACAGCACUGUGCAAACACGAAAGUGGACGUAUACGGUGUGACGCCUGCCCGGUGCCGGAAGGUUAAUUGAUGGGGUCAGCGCAAGCGAAGCUCUUGAUCGAAGCCCCGGUAAACGGCGGCCGUAACUAUAACGGUCCUAAGGUAGCGAAAUUCCUUGUCGGGUAAGUUCCGACCUGCACGAAUGGCGUAAUGAUGGCCAGGCUGUCUCCACCCGAGACUCAGUGAAAUUGAACUCGCUGUGAAGAUGCAGUGUACCCGCGGCAAGACGGAAAGACCCCGUGAACCUUUACUAUAGCUUGACACUGAACAUUGAGCCUUGAUGUGUAGGAUAGGUGGGAGGCUUUGAAGUGUGGACGCCAGUCUGCAUGGAGCCGACCUUGAAAUACCACCCUUUAAUGUUUGAUGUUCUAACGUGGACCCGUGAUCCGGGUUGCGGACAGUGUCUGGUGGGUAGUUUGACUGGGGCGGUCUCCUCCUAAAGAGUAACGGAGGAGCACGAAGGUUGGCUAAUCCUGGUCGGACAUCAGGAGGUUAGUGCAAUGGCAUAAGCCAGCUUGACUGCGAGCGUGACGGCGCGAGCAGGUGCGAAAGCAGGUCAUAGUGAUCCGGUGGUUCUGAAUGGAAGGGCCAUCGCUCAACGGAUAAAAGGUACUCCGGGGAUAACAGGCUGAUACCGCCCAAGAGUUCAUAUCGACGGCGGUGUUUGGCACCUCGAUGUCGGCUCAUCACAUCCUGGGGCUGAAGUAGGUCCCAAGGGUAUGGCUGUUCGCCAUUUAAAGUGGUACGCGAGCUGGGUUUAGAACGUCGUGAGACAGUUCGGUCCCUAUCUGCCGUGGGCGCUGGAGAACUGAGGGGGGCUGCUCCUAGUACGAGAGGACCGGAGUGGACGCAUCACUGGUGUUCGGGUUGUCAUGCCAAUGGCACUGCCCGGUAGCUAAAUGCGGAAGAGAUAAGUGCUGAAAGCAUCUAAGCACGAAACUUGCCCCGAGAUGAGUUCUCCCUGACCCUUUAAGGGUCCUGAAGGAACGUUGAAGACGACGACGUUGAUAGGCCGGGUGUGUAAGCGCAGCGAUGCGUUGAGCUAACCGGUACUAAUGAACCGUGAGGCUUAACCUUACAACGCCGAAGGUGUUU
rnacentral:rRNA from 1 species